UCCACUUUUGGAAACCGGGUUCUCUCUCUUCCGCUCGAGGCCGAGGACGACACGAAAACAGAGCAGGAAAGCUCCGGCCGAGUUCUCCUAGCUCCGGCCACCGUUUGACUCCAAACCACCUCCUUUGCCUUCGCCUCGACGCCUCCUCUCCACCGGACUCGAUUGUUUCCACCGGGAAAGCCUCAAACUCCGGCACACUGGAGUUGCUAACUUUGAAGCAAAAACGGUCAACGCCGGUUUUCUCCUAGCUCCGGCCACCAAAACUUCCGAUCCUUGGUUCCAUGAACUCCCCUCAACCUGCUGAUCAUCAUACUAGGAGGAUUGCACCUAGAGUGACCGGUUUCACGUUCGUCGGAGCUCGGUCGGUUUUCGAUCCGAAACGAAAAUCUUUCGAUCGGUAUAUCUCGAUCUGUAGUGCAUCGUUUUGAUUGAUUCUUUUUCCAGUGGGUUCACCUUUAUGUUCUUAACAACUCUCUCGAAGGAAUCGAGGCCUUAAAUUGAAGUUUUUACGUCGAAAAUCGAGCUCGCCGGUUUCUGGAAAUUUUCCGGCCACCUUCAUACUGUUCAAGGUGAUUGACGGUCUUCCUUGGUGAGCGGUUUUGGCGUGUUGUGUGAGAUUGAAGACGCAGCGGGAUUAGUGAUUAAUCAGUUGGAGAAGGACAAAGAUGUUGUUGCUCAGGCACAAGCAAUUGCAAUGCUUGAGUCCUUACCUCAGCUUCCAUUUUGUGUUGUUAAUGCUCUGCAUAACUUUCUUACUGACUCCAAGGCCUUCUCAAGAGUUCGAAUUGAGGCAGCCUUUGGAUUGGCUAAUACAUCAUCUGAGGUACCACAAUUCGGUUAUUGGAGCUUUGCAGAGCGUCAAUGCUGUGUUUAGGGCAUCUGUGGCACUGCUUCAGAACCUGGCUGAUGUGUUUUUGAUCCCAGAUUGGUCAUGGAAGCGGAUAAGGAGAAUCAGAAGAGGGCCGGGAGUCUGAAAAAAUGGGAGACGCCAUGUAAUCUUUGGAGAGCAGAACCUUGGAUUUGAAAGGGAGAUUGAUAUCCUUGUUGCUUUGGAUGAGAUGAAGUCCAUGAAGAUUUGCAGGUAGCAUGUUGAGGAAAUUGAUAACUUAAGAAAGUUGCUCCAGGGAGAGACAAGUCUUAGGAAGGCUGCUGAAGAGGAAGCCAGUAAUCUUUAGAGUCAACUGACUCUAUUGAAGAGGUUAGAGGUGCAUUUUAUCACCAGUUUAAUAAUUCUGAUAUCAUAUCAUUGAACCUAUCUUUGAAAUCUUGCGGAUGUUACAUAGAGAAAUUCUUUUGAUG